ACUCCUACGGGAGGCAGCAGUAGGGAAUUUUCCGCAAUGGACGAAAGUCUGACGGAGCAAUGCCGCGUGAGUGAUGAAGGUUUUCGAAUCGUAAAGCUCUGUUGUAAGGGAAGAAUAGCAAGAAUAGGAAAUGAUUCUUGUCUGACGGUACCUUACCAGAAAGCCACGGCUAACUACGUGCCAGCAGCCGCGGUAAUACGGAGGGGGUUGAGCGUUGUUCGGAAUUACUGGGCGUAAAGCGCGCGUAGGCGGACUAGUCAGUCAGGGGUGAAAUCCCGGGGCUCAACCCGGAACUGCCUUUGAUACUGCUAGUCUAGAGUUCGAGAGAGGUGAGUGGAAUUCCGAGUGUAGAGGUGAAAUUCGUAGAUAUUCGGAGGAACACCAGUGGCGAAGGCGGCUCACUGGCUCGAUACUACGCUGAGUGCGAAAGUGUGGGGAGCAAACAGGAUUAGAUACACUGGUAGGCUC
rnacentral:rRNA from 1 species